rnacentral:rRNA from 1 species
AAUGAACGCUGGCGGCGCGCCUAAUACAUGCAAGUCGAGCGAGAAGACGUAGCAAUACGUUUGUAAAGCGGCGAACGGGUGAGGAAUACGUGGGUAACCUACCCUCGAGUGGGGAAUAACUAGCCGAAAGGUUAGCUAAUACCGCGUACGCUUCUUGGACUUCGGUUCAGGGAGGAAAGCGAUGCCGAGGGUAUCGCGCUCUUGGAUGGGCUCAUGUCCUAUCAGCUUGUUGGGAGGUAACGGCUCACCAAGGCUUCGACGGGUAGCUGGUCUGAGAGGACGAUCAGCCACACUGGCACUGCGACACGGGCCAGACUCCUACGGGAGGCAGCAGUAAGGAAUAUUGCGCAAUGGGCGAAAGCCUGACGCAGCGACGCCGCGGUGGGGGA